GCCGCACUCCCUUUCUGCCGCAGGGGUCCCCCCCUCCAAGCACCAGCGGGAGGAGGCGCCGCAGGACCUGUCCCAGCCGGGUUCUCCUUCCCCUCCAGGAAGCCGGACUCUAUGUGGCGGGACCCUGGAGGAGACAGAGCAGAGCCUGGAGCCAGCCCCGAACCCCUGAACCUCGAGCCAGGGGCACCCCGGGAGCACCCAGCCCGCGGGCGCGCCGCCCGCCGCCGAGCAGCCAUGAGUGAGACGGCCGUCUGUUCUAGCCGGGCCACUGUGAUGCUUUACGAUGACGGCAACAAGCGAUGGCUGCCCGCCGGCACCGGUCCCCAGGCCUUCAGCCGUGUCCAGAUCUACCACAACCCCACAGCCAAUUCCUUCCGGGUCGUGGGCCGGAAGAUGCAGCCUGACCAGCAGGUGGUCAUCAACUGUGCCAUCGUCCGGGGUGUCAAGUAUCAUCAAGCCACCCCUACCUUCCACCAGUGGCGCGACGCCCGCCAGGUCUGGGGCCUCAACUUCGGCAGCAAGGAGGAUGCAGCACAGUUUUCCGCCGGCAUGGCCAGUGCCCUAGAGGCGUUGGAAGGAGGUGGGCCUCCUCCGCCCGCAGCACCUCCCACCUGGUCUGUGCAGAACGGCCCCUCCCCGGAGGAGGUGGAGCAGCACAGAAGGCAGCAGUCUGGCCAGCCGGAACUGGAGCGCAGGGUCUCCAAUGCAGGAGGCCCACCUGCUCCCCCAGCUGGGGGCCCACCCCCACCACCAGGACCUCCUCCUCCUCCGGGUCCCCCCCCACCUCCGGGUCUGCCCCCCUCCGGGGUGUCUACUGCAGGGCAUGGAGCAGGGGGAGGCCCACCCCCUGCACCCCCUCUCCCCGCAGCACAGGGCCCCAGUGGUGGGGGGGCCGGGGCCCCAGGCCUGGCCGCAGCCAUUGCUGGAGCCAAACUCAGGAAAGUCAGCAAGCAGGAGGAGGCCUUAGGGGGGCCCGUGGCCCCCAAAGCUGAGAGCAGCCGCAGCACAGGCGGGGGGCUCAUGGAAGAGAUGAACGCCAUGCUGGCCCGCAGAAGGAAAGCCACGCAGGUUGGGGAGAAACCCCCCAAGGAUGACUCUGCCAAUCAGGAGGAGCCAGAGGCCAGAGUCCCAGCCCAGAGUGAAUCUGUGCGGAGACCCUGGGAGAAGAACAGCACAACCUUGCCGAGGAUGAAGUCGUCUUCGGCACUCACUUCCGAGGCCCACCCCUGUACACCUAGCUCCAGUGAUGAGUCAGACCUGGAGAGAGUGAAACAGGAGCUUCUGGAAGAGGUGAGGAAGGAAUUGCAGAAAGUGAAAGAGGAAAUAAUUGAAGCCUUUGUCCAGGAGCUGAGGAAGCGGGGUUCUCCCUGACCACAGGGACACAGAAGAUCCAUUUCUCCCUUCUGCACACCCCACCUCUCACCCUGCUUUCCCUGCCUCGGCUUGACUUGGAAUUGGCUGAAGACUGCACAGGAAUGCAUCUCCCCCAUUCCCCAUCCCACUUGGAAAAGUCCAAGGGGGUGUGGCUUCCCUGCCUACACCCAUACUGGCUGCUGAUUGGCUGGCGAGGCCCCCACCCUUUCUUCUCUUUGGUCCUUCCCCUCUACCAUCCCCUUGGGGCUGGUUCCUCUGCUGGGGAUGUACCAGUUAACCCCGCAGUGAGGGGGAAGGAAGGAGGGAAUUUCACAUUCCCUUGUUCUAGAUUCACUUUAAAGCUUAAUGCCUUUGAAUUUUUGUUUUUUAAAGAAAAUAUAUAUAUAUAUUUGGGUUUCGGGGGGAAAGGGAAAUUUUUUUUUCUCUUUGGUUUUGAUAAAAUGGGGUGUGGGAGUUUUUAAAUGCUAUAGCCCCAGGCUUGCCCCAUUUGGGGCAGCUAUUUAAGGGGGGGAUGUCCCACCAGGCUGGGCGAACCUCCUCCCACCCCAGGGACUUACCUCCCCCCUGGCUCCUUCCCCUUUUCUAUAAGGAAUUAAGAUGCUGUAACUUUUUGGAA